rfam:Oryza nivara chromosome 3, whole genome shotgun sequence.
AAUAAGCGCAGCCAUGAAUUUACGUGUCCAAUUUUGACCGUCUAUCUUAUUUGAAUUUUUUUAUAAUUAGUUUUUUUAUUGUUAUUAGAUUAUAAAAUAUAAAUAUUACUUUAUACGUGAAUUAUGUUUUCUAGUUUUUUCAAAAAAAAAGACGAACAAUUAAAGUUGGACACGGAAACUCAUGACUGCGUUUAUU